rnacentral:rRNA from 1 species
UGGCCGUACCAUGCUGAAUAUACCGGUUCUCGUUAGAUCACCGAAGUCAAGCAUCAUUGGGCGCGGUCAGUACUUGGGUGGGUGACCACCUGGGAACACUGCGUGCCGCUG